rnacentral:rRNA from 1 species
CCUACGGGUGGCAGCAGUGAGGAAUAUUGGUCAAUGGACGAGAGUCUGAACCAGCCAAGUAGCGUGAAGGAUGACUGCCCUAUGGGUUGUAAACUUCUUUUAUAAAGGAAUAAAACGAGGCACGUGUGCCUUUUUGCAUGUACUUUAUGAAUAAGGAUCGGCUAACUCCGUGCCAGCAGCCGCGGUAAUACGGAGGAUUCGAGCGUUAUCCGGAUUUAUUGGGUUUAAAGGGAGCGUAGGUGGGUGGUUAAGUCAGUUGUGAAAGUUUGCGGCUCAACCGUAAAAUUGCAAUUGAUACUGGCAGUCUAGAGUGCAGUUGCGGUAGGCGGAAUGCGUGGUGUAGCGGUGAAAUGCUUAGAGAUCACACAGAACCCCGAUUGCGAAGGCAGCUUACUAAGCUGUGACUGACAUUGAUGCUCGAAAGUGUGGGUAGCAAACAGGAUUAGAUACCCUUGUAGUC